AAGGCAGUUAGGUAAAAGUAUUUAAAGUUAACUAAUAGCUUAUAGAGAGGUAAAAUUCAGCCGUAAGCUUAAAAAUUUAUGUUGACUAAUUCUACUGAAUCUGCGAUACCCUUGAGGGAAACUGGGAUUAGAUACCCCACUAUUCUUGGAAAUAAAAAGAAAAAUCUACCAGAGUACUAUGAAUCAAACAUUUAAAACUCAAAGGGCUUGGCGGUGCUUUAGACCUUUCAGGGGAACCUGUCUCAUAAUCGACAAUCCACGUUACACCUGACCUUUUCUUGUAAACAAUUUGUAUACCGUCGUCGUCAGGUAACUUUUAAAAAUUUAGUAGUUAGCAGAUCAACUUUAAUAAGUUUAAACGUCAGAUCAAGGUGCAAUUAAUGAAAAGGUAGGGAUGGGUUACAAUUAUUUAUUAAUAAUACAGAAAAUUAGCUGAAAUGCUGCUUGGAAGGAGGACUUGAAAGUAAA
rnacentral:rRNA from 1 species